rnacentral:rRNA from 1 species
UAGUGUUGUUGGGUAGGGGAGCGUUCUGUAAGCCGUUGAAGGUGUCCUGUGAGGGGUGCUGGAGGUAUCAGAAGUGCGAAUGCUGACAUAAGUAACGAUAAAGCGGGUGAAAAGCCCGCUCGCCGGAAGACCAAGGGUUCCUGUCCAACGUUAAUCGGGGCAGGGUGAGUCGACCCCUAAGGCGAGGCCGAAAGGCGUAGUCGAUGGGAAACGGGUUAAUAUUCCCGUACUUGGUGUUACUGCGAAGGGGGGACGGAGAAGGCUAUGUUGGCCGGGCGACGGUUGUCCCGGUUUAAGCGUGUAGGCUGGUUUUCCAGGCAAAUCCGGAAAAUCAAGGCUGAGGCGUGAUGACGAGGCACCACGGUGCUGAAGCAACAAAUGCCCUGCUUCCAGGAAAAGCCUCUAAGCAUCAGGUAACAUCAAAUCGUACCCCAAACCGACACAGGUGGUCAGGUAGAGAAUACCAAGGCGCUUGAGAGAACUCGGGUGAAGGAACUAGGCAAAAUGGUGCCGUAACUUCGGGAGAAGGCACGCUGACACGUAGGUGAAGUGAUUUACUCAUGGAGCUGAAGUCAGUCGAAGAUACCAGCUGGCUGCAACUGUUUAUUAAAAACACAGCACUGUGCAAACACGAAAGUGGACGUAUACGGUGUGACGCCUGCCCGGUGCCGGAAGGUUAAUUGAUGGGGUCAGCGCAAGCGAAGCUCCUGAUCGAAGCCCCGGUAAACGGCGGCCGUAACUAUAACGGUCCUAAGGUAGCGAAAUUCCUUGUCGGGUAAGUUCCGACCUGCACGAAUGGCGUAAUGAUGGCCAGGCUGUCUCCACCCGAGACUCAGUGAAAUUGAACUCGCUGUGAAGAUGCAGUGUACCCGCGGCAAGACGGAAAGACCCCGUGAACCUUUACUAUAGCUUGACACUGAACAUUGAGCCUUGAUGUGUAGGAUAGGUGGGAGGCUUUGAAGCGUGGACGCCAGUCUGCGUGGAGCCGACCUUGAAAUACCACCCUUUAAUGUUUGAUGUUCUAACGUGGACCCGUAAUCCGGGUUGCGGACAGUGUCUGGUGGGUAGUUUGACUGGGGCGGUCUCCUCCUAAAGAGUAACGGAGGAGCACGAAGGUUGGCUAAUCCUGGUCGGACAUCAGGAGGUUAGUGCAAUGGCAUAAGCCAGCUUGACUGCGAGCGUGACGGCGCGAGCAGGUGCGAAAGCAGGUCAUAGUGAUCCGGUGGUUCUGAAUGGAAGGGCCAUCGCUCAACGGAUAAAAGGUACUCCGGGGAUAACAGGCUGAUACCGCCCAAGAGUUCAUAUCGACGGCGGUGUUUGGCACCUCGAUGUCGGCUCAUCACAUCCUGGGGCUGAAGUAGGUCCCAAGGGUAUGGCUGUUCGCCAUUUAAAGUGGUACGCGAGCUGGGUUUAGAACGUCGUGAGACAGUUCGGUCC